rnacentral:rRNA from 1 species
GAUGAACGCUGGCGGCGUGCCUAAUACAUGCAAGUAGAACGCUGAAGGAGGAGCUUGCUCUUCUGGAUGAGUUGCGAACGGGUGAGUAACGCGUAGGUAACCUGCCUGUUAGCGGGGGAUAACUAUUGGAAACGAUAGCUAAUACCGCAUGACAACAGCUAUUGCAUGAUAACUGUUGAAAAGUGGCAACUGCUCCACUACCAGAUGGACCUGCGUUGUAUUAGCUAGUUGGUGAGGUAACGGCUCACCUAGGCGACGAUACAUAGCCGACCUGAGAGGGGGGUCCGCCACCCUGGGACGGAGACACGGCCCAGACUCCUUCGGGAGGCAGCCGUAGGGAAUCGUCGGCCAUGGACGGAAGUCUGACCGAGCAACGCCGCGUGCGUGAAGAAGGUCUUCGGAUCGUAAAGCUCUGUUGUAAGGGAAGAACGCGUGUGCGAGUGGAAAGUUCACACUGUGACGGUAUCUGACCAGAAAGGGACGGCUAACUACGUG